rnacentral:lncRNA from 1 species
CAGAUGUUGUAAUGUGAACUUCAUUGGACUGUAAAGGGGCACAGGGACCUAAUCUGAGAGAAAUAUGGAGGUAGUUCAGAUGUGGAACUAUGCAGGUCUUCAGAGCAAUUUCUUCAGUGACACUUCUUCCAUAGGUUAAUGGAAGCCAUGCUGCCCAGGAGCUAUAGGAGGCCAGGCAAAGGUCUUGCUCUUUGCUUACAAGGAAGGCAUACUACAGAGGGUGCCAACCAGGUAGAUAGCAAAGUAUGA